AUUGAACGCUGGCGGCAGGCCUAACACAUGCAAGUCGAACGAGUGGCGGACGGGUGAGUAAUGUAUGGGAAACUGCCUGAUGGAGGGGGAUAACUACUGGAAACGGUAGCUAAUACCGCAUACCAUCAGAUGUGCCCAGAUGGGAUUAGCUAGUUGGGGGGGUAACGGCUCACCAAGGCGACGAUCCGUAGCUGGUCUGAGAGGACGACCAGCCACACUGGAACUGAGACACGGUCCAGACUCCUACGGGAGGCAGCAGUGGGGAAUAUUGGACAAUGGGCGAAACCCUGAUGCAGCCAUGCCGCGUGUAUGAUGAAGGCCUUCGGGUUGUAAAGUACUUUCGGCAGGGAAGCGGUAUCCGCAGAAUAAGCACCGGCUAACUACGUGCCAGCAGCCGCGGUAAUUC
rnacentral:rRNA from 1 species